rnacentral:rRNA from 1 species
CCUACGGGAGGCAGCAGUGGGGAAUAUUGGGCAAUGGGCGCAAGCCUGACCCAGCAAUGCCGCGUGAAGGAAGAAGGCUUUCGGGUUGUAAACUUCUUUGACAGGGGAAGAGCAGAAGACGGUACCCUGAAAACAAGCCACGACUAACUACGUGCCAGCAGCCGCGGUAAUACGUAGGUGGCAAGCGUUGUCCGGAUUUACUGGGUGUAAAGGGCGUGUAGCCGGGAAGGCAAGUCAGAUGUGAAAUCUGGAGGCUCAACCUCCAAAUUGCAUUUGAAACUGUUUUUCUUGAGUACUGGAGAGGCAGAAGGAAUUCCUUGUGUAGCGGUGAAAUGCGUAGAUAUAAGGAGGAACACCAGUGGCGAAGGCGGUCUGCUGGACAGCAACUGACGGUGAGGCGCGAAAGCGUGGGGAGCAAACAGGAUUAGAUACCCCAGUAGUC